rnacentral:rRNA from 1 species
AACGAACGCUGGCGGCGUGCUUAACACAUGCAAGUCGAACGCGAAAGCUUCUUUCGGGAAGCGAGUAGAGUGGCGCACGGGUGAGUAACGCGUAAGUAAUCUACCCCUGUAUCUGGAAUAACCUACCGAAAGGUGAGCUAAUACCGGAUACGUUUGAGAUGAUGCGAAUGAUUUCACAGAAAGGAGGCCUCUGCAUAUGCUUCCGUACAGGGAUGAGCUUGCGUACCAUUAGCUAGUUGGCAGGGUAAUGGCCUACCAAGGCGACGAUGGUUAGCGGGUCUGAGAGGAUGAUCCGCCACACUGGAACUGGAACACGGACCAGACUCCUACGGGAGGCAG